UUCCUACGGGGGGCAGCAGUGGGGAAUAUUGGACAAUGGGGGGAACCCUGAUCCAGCGACGCCGCGUGAGUGAAGAAGUAUUUUGGUAUGUAAAGCUCUAUCAGCAGGGAAGAAAGAAAUGACGGUACCUGACUAAGAAGCCCCGGCUAACUACGUGCCAGCAGCCGCGGUAAUACGUAGGGGGCAAGCGUUAUCCGGAUUUAUUGGGUUUAAAGGGUGCGCAGGCGGACCAUCAAGUCAGCGGUAAAAUCGUGGGGCCCAACCCCAUCCCGCCGUUGAAACUGGCGGUCUUGAGUGAGCGAGAA
rnacentral:rRNA from 1 species